CGGGGUGUGGCGCAGCUGGAAGCGCGCAUGGUUUGGGACCAUGAGGUCGUCGGUUCGAGCCCGACCACCCCGACCA
rnacentral:tRNA from 1 species